GUCCUUAUCUCAACCCUUGAGCCCUUUUCAUCGUAUUUUCUCCCCGUUCCUCUUUGAGGAGGGGGAGUGAGAGAGCGGUUGUGGUGGAGCUCAGCCACCCACCCGAGUAAAACCACCACAAGGGGGUAUACAGGAAAGCUGGGAGGGAACUCUUUGUCAGGGAGUGUAGUGAUAGGACAAGUGAUAACAGCUUUAAAUUAAAAUAGGGGAGAAUUAUAUCACGUAUUCGGAAGAAACUCUUUACUCAGAAGUGGUGAGGCACUGGAACAUGUUGCCCAGAGAAGUAGUGGAUGCCCCAUCCGUGAAAGUGUUUAAGGCCAGGUUGGAUAGGGCUUUGAGCAACCAGGUCUAGUGGAAGGUGUCCUUGCCCAUGCAGAAGCGUUGGAACUAGAUGAUCUUUAAGGUCCCUUCCAACGUAAAACAUUCUAUGGUUUUAAUUUAUCAUUAACCUAAUUAAAGUUCUAUACAGUUCUAUUAGGAGGUAAUAUUUCUUAGUUAAAUUAUAAUAUUCUGAAUUUUCAUAAUCCAAUUUAUAACAAGACAGCCUAAUUAAUAAUUUUUAUACAAGAAAACAUAUUAAUAUCCAUGCCUUUUCUCCAGUAUUGUGUUCACACUUUCGAUGUUUCUAACAUGGAAAGCACUACAUUUUUUCUCAGGCAAGAAGAUGGUGAGGUGUCCCUAGAUGGCUUCCAGGAUCCUAAGUAGGAAUUCAACACCACUGUUAGUCUUCUUCCCCACCUCUGCCUGCAUGUUUGUGAAACAGCCAGUUGAUCUCCAGUCCAUACUGACGCAUAAGAUUGUUCCAUCCCAGGUGCAGGGCUUUUCAUUUGUCUCUGAUAAAACUUCCUCAGUUUCCAAUGGCCCAUUCCUUCAGCUUUUUGAAGUCUCUCCAAAUGGAAACCAUUCCUCCAGUGAUUAUUAAAUCACUCUCUUCAAUACAGUGUUGUACACAGUAGUGGCAAGAGUUAACUCUCGUCCUAUCACUGAUGAAGAUGUUAAACGAUAUUGGCACCAGUGUUAAUACCUGAGGAGUGUCAACAGUGACCAGCUACCAGUUUGAUUUCCAAGUGUUGUCUGCUAAACUUCUGAUUCUGAUGAAUAAACCAUUUUUACCUACCUUGUAAUUCA
rnacentral:lncRNA from 1 species